rfam:Clostridium acetireducens DSM 10703 CLAC_contig000013, whole genome shotgun sequence.
AGUACCUUUAACAAGAUCCAGAGAGGUCUUGAAGGAAGAGUAGAUAAUUUUUAAAUAAGAUUUUUGUAGACGGGAUAUCUAUGCCUUCCUUUAAGGAAGGCAUUUUUUAU